rnacentral:rRNA from 1 species
AGUGAACGCUGGCGGUAGGCCUAACACAUGCAAGUCGAACGGCAGCACAGUAAGAGCUUGCUCUUACGGGUGGCGAGUGGCGGACGGGUGAGGAAUACAUCGGAAUCUACUUUUUCGUGGGGGAGAACGUAGGGAAACUUACGCUAAUACCGCAUACGACCUACGGGUGAAAGCAGGGGAUCUUCGGACCUUGCGCGAUUGAAUGAGCCGAUGUCGGAUUAGCUAGUUGGAGGGGUAAAGGCCCACCAAGGCGACGAUCCGUAGCUGGUCUGAGAGGAUGAUCAGCCACACUGGAACUGAGACACGGUCCAGACUCCUACGGGAGGCAGCAGUGGGGAAUAUUGGACAAUGGGCGCAAGCCUGAUCCAGCCAUACCGCGUGGGUGAAGAAGGCCUUCGGGUUGUAAAGCCCUUUUGUUGGGAAAGAAAAGCAGCAGGUUAAUACCCCGCUGUUCUGACGGUACCCAAAGAAUAAGCACCGGCUAACUUCGUG